AUUGAACGCUGGCGGCAGGCCUAACACAUGCAAGUCGCACGAGUGGCGGACGGGUGAGUAAUGUCUGGGAAACUGCCUGAUGGAGGGGGAUAACUACUGGAAACGGUAGCUAAUACCGCAUACCAUCGGAUGUGCCCAGAUGUGAGUAGCUAGUAGGUGGGGUAAAGGCUCACCUAGGCGACGAUCCCUAGCUGGUCUGAGAGGAUGACCGGACACACGGGAACUGGGACACGGUCCAGACUCCUACGGGAGGCAACAGUGGGGAUUGUUGCACAAUGGGCGCAAGCCGAAUGCAGCCAUGCGGCGUGUAUGAAGAAGGCCUUCGGUUUGUAAAGUACUUUCAGCGGGGAGGCGUUACCCGCAGAAGAAGCACCGGCUAACUCCGUGCCAGCAGCCGCGGUAAUUC
rnacentral:rRNA from 1 species